GAGUAGAAAAAUCCUUAGGUUUCACUCGCACCCACCUAUCUUCCCUAACCCCUCUCACAACUCCUCAUCUCACACGCUAGAUCUCCAUCCAACUCCUCUCACGCCCUCUCCUUCCAACCCCUCUCCGGCGAACCCCUCUCCCCGAACCUCUCCUCCGAACUCCUAUCCGUCAAGACCGCGGGCAAAAUUUCCUCACCUUAUUCCUUCACCUCUUCGUCAAAUAGCAAAUGCAAUAAUCUCUUCGCCUCCGUCGACUCAUUCACGCUUCCUUCACACUACUCUUCUUAGAGAAAUCACCUUUAUAGGCGGAUCCUGAGUCCGAAGCCGAGAUUUUCGUUAGGAUUUUGAUUUUUUUUUCCCCCUUUUUGGUCUUUCCUUCGUUCGUUUGGUCUACUCGCUGUCGGUUUGUUUGUCGAAUGCCCUAGCACAUGUUGUCUCUUUAUUAGAUUUCAGUUCAUGGAUUUUGGAUUACCUUUUGUUUUGUGUGAAGGGGCGGCUAACCACUUGGGAGCUUGGUGGCGGUGAUCUGCGAAGCAAAUUGGAAGGUUGAGGUUGCGAGAUGGACCGCCGCAGUUGGAUCUGGACAUGAAAGUCAUCGGAAAAGGGCGGCAGUGAGACCUAGAGCUCGGAUUCGGUAUCUUAGAGAGGUACUCCGGUGAACAGGUUUGUUCUAUGCCUUGCCCUUGUACCUGUUGCUAUCUGUGAGAGCGUUCAAAGUUAAUAGAUUGGAAGAACACAGACCAAGCAUGCAUCAAAGAAACAAUCUUUUUUAGGAGAAAAAAGAAAGAGACGAAGCUCAAUUUAUCCAGACAAGAAGAUUGAGUUACAAGUAUAUCAAUAACUCUAGCUCUUAAAACCUAACAAGUUAAUAGAUAAGGAUUUAUGCUCUUUUUAUGCAUGAACAAAAAGUCUACCAUGAAUUUCAAGAUUGUAUCCUUUUCCUUUUUGAACUGAUCAAGCUCUGAUAUUAGAGCUGAUGCACAUGAUUCUGAACCACUCUGCUCAUGAUCUAAACUUAACUGCCUCUCUCCUGCAUCUGAUUGGCUACUUCAACAUUUCCAUCCUGCUAUUUUUCUUGAGAAUUCUGGCUCUGAGGCAAUUGAGGAGGCUCUAGUAGUUGAGGAUGAAGGUUUCUCCCUUCAUUUCUUUGUAUUUUCUUUCUGAAAUUAUUUGAACAAUCCGAAUUUUUUUACUUUGCACUUGAAAAGGUGAGCCCUCCCAUCCAUGCCUCAUAGUCUCAUUGUAUGAAACUGAUUGCUUAUUAUGUGUUUUGUAUCUUCUUUUUGACAAUUGUUUGAACAAUCCUGAAUUUCUACUUUGCACUUGAAAAGGUCAACCCUCCCAUUUAUAUUCAGGCCACAUAGUCUCAUUAUCUGAAUCUGAUUGCUUCUUAUAGGCUUUGUAUUUUCUUUUUGAAAAUUAUUUGGACAAUCCUCAAAUGUUCAACUUUCAGUAACUGGUAUGCAAUGAUUAUGUGAUCUUGGGCACCAUUCUAUGUUUCUUCCUUAAUACUUAAGUAGUUUUCGAUUUUGUUGAAAAUUCAGGCUGUGUAUCAAUUCAAUUGCUUCUAUAUUCUUUAUGUUUUCACCUAGAAUUUAUCUGCUCUAGUGAAAAGGUCUUAAUUUAAGCUUGUUUGAGAAUAGUAUUUGUUUUGGUCUCAGUUGAUUCCAGAUCUAUUUAUGUUGGAAAUCUUCCUUCAUCUAUCUCGACUUCAUACCUUGAGCAAGUCUUUAAGAAUUUUGGUAAAUUGAGAUCAGAUGGUGUUUUUAUUAGAAGCCGGAAGGUUGAUUCCAUUUAGCUUGUUGUACUAUUUUGAUUUAGUUUUAUGCAUCUUGAUUAAUUUUUAACUCAGCAAUACAUGCAAAUUUGCAAGAGUCUGAUGUUUUUAUGCUUUCAUUGAAUAUCAAGAUGCCAUUGGUGUACAAAAUGCACUUAAGGUAUGUGAUCUUCCUUAAGUUUAUUCUCACAAGUAUCAGAAUAUAUCAACUCUAUAUAGUAGUAUUUUGCAGUAUCCUUGCCUAUUUCAAGUCUAGUCUGCACUAGUAUGAUCACGUGUUGAAAUCAGUAUCUGCCUAUUGAGUGUACAUGCUUUUAUGCAGCUUCUAUAUCUUUAUUUCUUCUUGUUUAUUAAAACCAGUUUUGAGAUCUGACAUAUUUUACCGAUGAUAUUUGCAUAUAAAUCUUCUCUAUAAAAUUUCAGAUUUGUUUGUGUUCCAGCUCUGUAAAUAUCUACAUUAAUAUAUUUGAUCCUCAUUAUUAUUUACCAAGUGUUUUUUACUUCUGUAAACUAUUUCUAAAUUCAUAUCCUUGUAUCUUGUUAGCAUACUUUGUUUUUUUUCUUCAGAAUUGUUAUAUUGAGGACAACUUGAUUUUGCUUAAGAUAAAUUUAAGUUCUCGUUGUAUGAUGAGGAUUCUCUCAAAUUACAUACUUUACAUACUGGCUUUUCAUUUUCAGGCAUCUCCAAUACAGUUAAAUGGGAGAUUGAUUCAUGUCGAGGGGAGAAGACCUAAUAGCGGUGUAUCACAAGGAAAUACACAGUGGUAGGUGUUUUGUCCCAAUCUCAAGUCGACAAUCUUUUUGAUCAGUAUAUCUAGUAGAAGUAAGCAUGCAAAUCGUUGUCUUCGAGGUCGGCUAGCUAUUUUGUGUUUUUUUGUUUUAAAUUCAAAUGUCACUAUCUACUUUGAAAUAGAACUAUUUGGUCUUUGUGUAUAGUUGAAUUCUCCUGUAAAUACUAAUACUUUGUAGUUGAAUUCUAUUUUUUAGUAUGAGUUCGAAAUCA